CGGGGCUUGGCGGAACGGUAGACGCAAGGGGCUUAAAACCCCUCGGGCUUCGGCCCAUGCUGGUUCGAGUCCAGCAGCCCCGACCA
rnacentral:tRNA from 1 species